CACUGUUGUCACGACUUAACUUGGGAUCCAGCUGAUCACAUCAGAGGAACGAGCAUCACCAACGCAACUCAUCAUUACAAGGACUGCAAGGACUUUUGGGCUUUUACACCCAAUUUCACCUCUUUGGAACUGACGAUAAUAUCUACAGGCAUGAACAGCAGACUGGUCUUCGCUGUCCUAUUUGUGACUCUCUCCUGGAUGUGUGCGGGCACCGACGCCCAACCAAACACGACGCUGUCAGUAAACAUGACAAGUACCAUGCCGACAAGUACCAUGACAAGUACCAUGGCGACAAGUACCAUGACAAGUACCAUGGCGACAAGUGUGAUGAUGACAACAAACAUCACCACCAACGCCACUAGCCACGCCAUUACAUUCCGUCAAUCUCUGACUCCAGCUGUGCUGAUGACUGUGGGUGUGCUCAGUCUGGCCACGGUCUGAGGAACCUGAAAUCCCCAAGACAAGAAACAAUGGACAACCACAACCGUCAUGCUUAAUUUAUUGAAAGUUGAAGUGAGGGAGGGUGAUCACACUCCUGAAGGCUUUAUGAAAAGAAAAAUGUGAAUGGCAUCUGGUUACCACACAUUCAGAUAAAAACGUUUAAGAUGCAACAGUAACUACAGAAGAAAUCCUGUUAUAGGUUAUUAAAUUAUGAUGCCUUGAAUCAUAUUGUCCAGUUCACCUUCAAAACUUAAGAGAUGUGACAUUAUUAAGGACGAUCAUUACUUUUGCUGGCAUAGAAAUGUCUUUUCCCCUCCAAUGUCACUAAAAACUAUACUAGCAAAUUGCAGGCAUUUGCGUUUCAUUCAUGUUAUUUCUAGUUAUUCUUCUUCAUGUGACUGUUGUUAACUUUUUCUAAUGAAGCCUUCAUUGGCUGAUAUUUUAUUAAUGUGCAAGAACACAAGCAGAUGAGACGUUGCAUAUAGAGAAUGCUAUGUAUGAUACCAAAUAAUGAUGAAAUUGGUUUUGCACAUUGUAUUAUGUAACAGUUGAUGCUUGAUUACAGAUUUUUGAAAUA